UUGGAGGGCAAGUCUGGUGCCAGCAGCCGCGGUAAUUCCAGCUCCAAUAGCGUAUAUUAAAGUUGUUGCAGUUAAAAAGCUCGUAGUUGAAUUUCGAGAUCAGUACGCUGGUCGUGCCUUCGGUAUGCACUGGUGUCACUGGUUUCUCCCUUCUGAAGAGCCGUCAUGUCAUUAAGUUGGUGUGGCGGGGAAUCAGGACUGUUACUUUGAAAAAAUUAGAAUGUUUAAAGCAGGCUCGCGCUUGAAUACAUUAGCAUGGAAUAAUGAAAUAGGACGUUUGACCCUAUUUUGUUGGUUUCUAGGAUCGACGUAAUGAUUAAUAGGGAUAGUUGGGGGCAUUAGUAUUCAAUUGUCAGAGGUGAAAUUCUUGGAUUUAUUGAAGACUAACUACUGCGAAAGCAUUUGCCAAGGAUGUUUUCAUUAAUCAAGAACGAAAGUUAGGGGAUCGAAGACGAUCAGAUACCGUCGUAGUCUUAACCAUAAACUAUGCCGACUAGGGAUCGGAUGAUGUUAAUUUUAUAAUGACUCAUUCGGCGCCUUACGGGAAAC
rnacentral:rRNA from 1 species